rnacentral:rRNA from 1 species
UACGUAGGAGGCGAGCGUUGUCCGGAAUUACUGGGCGUAAAGAGCGCGUAGGUGGCGCUGCGCGACUUCGGUGAAAGCCCCCGGCUCAACUGGGGAGGGUCCGAGGUGACGGCAGUGCUGUGAGUGCAGGAGAGGGAAGUGGAACUCCGGGAGUAGCGGUGAAAUGCGUAGAGACCCGGAGGAACACCAGUGGCGAAGGCGGCUUCCUGGCCUGCGACUGACGCUGUGGCGCGAAAGCUAGGGGA